UUCCUAGUAGUGAGGACGACAUCGUCUCUCACAUCUUGGCCAGACUCGAAGAAGACUUCAAUCCGGUGGUGUCCGCCAUGUGCUCCCGGGUGGAGCCGGUCACCGCCACCGAGCUGUUCUCGCAACUGCUCAGCUUCGAGA
rnacentral:snoRNA from 1 species